CGCCGGACCAGCGUGAGGGUCCGCGCGCGAAUCUGCCGUCCCCGCCGCUGCGAGCGGCGCCCGCGGGGCCUGAAGGGUCGGCGGAGCGGUCGCUGCCGCGGUGCAUGUGGUGGGCAGAAGGUGGCUAGGGUUUUGACGCGGCUCGCGAGCACGAGAGGGGGAAGGCGAAGGCGAAGAGAGAGGCCGUGUGGAAUUUCAACUCCGCCUCGUAAAGUGCCAAUGGCCGUGAGGAUCAGAUUGGAUCCGAUGGGCGACCGACGGCAGUCUGCUGCCCCGGCGUACCCCUUCCGUUUCUGCCAACGGACAACGUAAUUUCGGG
rnacentral:lncRNA from 1 species